CCCAUCUCCACAGAGUCACCACGAGCCGCCGUCUCCCCACGUCGAGGAACAGAGUUUAAAGGGAGAACUGCGGCGCUGGGGAAUGCUUUUGACCGCCGACCGGGGGGGUCAGCCCUGGGCCGGCUUUGGGGUCAGGGAAACCCGAGGAAAGCGGCCUCUUUGGGAGACGCGAUCCCCGCUUUCCCCUUUUGCUGUCGUCUUUCUGUCCCUCCCGUGGAAGCGGGGACACUCCCGCACCCCGCGGAUGGCAACGGAGGGAAACGAUCCUCUCCGAACUCCGCCGCCCCGUUAGUCUGCUUUCGGCCGCGACUUUCGCCGAGAAACCCAAAAGCGCUGAGAGCAGCACACCGUCAGUCGAGCAAAAACUUCAGCGUUUCGGAGGAGCUCUCAAAAUACAGCCCUACCUCCGCCCGCCGCCGAAACCGGACCCGUUAGAAGAGGUAAACCAUUUAGCCGGGAAGAAAAUACCAAACAAAAGCAAGCAAACAAACACACAAACCACAACAAAAAUGAAAAUGAAUCACACUCUCUCUCUAUAUAUAUAUCUCGGUAGCCUGAAGCACCUCCGAACGGGACAGUGUGGGACGGAAUGCUCCGCUGGGGCCGAGAGGGGAAACUAUGGGGAUAACGCUGCUGAGUGCGGAGUCGGGGAGCGCAGGAGAGCGAUGCGGGAGCGCGGUGUGUUUCUGACAGAGUGCGGUGGUUUAUGGGGCUGGGAUCGUAGUGCGGAAAGAGGGAAAAAGGCAAGAAAAGAAGCAAGAAAAAAAAAAAAAAGAACCCAAGAAAAACAGAAGGAAAGAUGUAAGCUAAAAAGGACACCUUUAUUGCUGGCCCGGCUUGAGAUACGCAGCUCCGGGAGCGCCGCUGAAGCGCGCGGUGGCUGCGGGGUCCUUCGGGGAGGGGGUGCCCGUUUGAAACUCAACGCGGGACACGAAAAUAAAGGAGUGACGAUAACGAAAACGGUUCCUGAUCGAACUGUUCCGAUCCCGUUUUCAAACAGGCUGCGGUGUUUCAAAACGGGUCGGGAGCACACGAUAGUUCUGAAGGUGAAAGCUGUCCUUGGGAACAGGAGAGGGAAAGUAUCAGUCACACAGAGGAAGCUUCAGGGUUGAAGAAUUAGGAAAAACCUUGUAUGAAAAGCACACACAAAGAGGAGUGUUUUUGCUCUGUUUGUCUGCAGACCUUUGAACAUGAUGAAAGUCAGUAGUUCACAGAAUCAGAGAAUCACUGAAUAUCCUGAGACGGAAUGGACCCAAAAGGAUCAUCAAGUACAACUCCUGGCUCCACACAGGACCAAACAGAAUUCAAGCUGUGUUUCUAAGAAUGCUUUCCAAGUGUUUCUUGAAUUCCAGCAAGUAUGGUACCAUGGCCAAUGCCCUGGGAAGACUUUUCCAGGUAACACCUACCAAUCUGUUCCCAUCCUGUGUUUAUGCUCCCCCCUACAAAAUGCUCACCCUUAUUCUUACUGAAUUAAAUAUUUUUACAUGUUAUUUUUCAGUUUUAUAGCCAUCAUGAAGAAUUUAAUAUUAUUCUUUCACUAUUCUGUGGUCAGCUCAAACCAUAGUAACCUGCAUAUGUGACUGCAAAUGUGUAAGCAUGUUGCUUAUUUUAAUAUCCAGUAAUGGAAAUACUGACUAGUACCUGUCUGUGGACAGAUUGCUAUAGUGCCAUGCUUGGGACAGCCUCCCAUGUCUUUAGUGAUCACUUGCCCAAGUACACCACUCCAAACACCUUUUCAUGCACUCCAUAAGAGGUCCUACUAUGUUUUUUAUUUCCCACUCUUUCAGUACAGCAACUAUAUUUCCCAAAUGUCCUCUUUCAAUGGCUUUCCCGUUCCAUUCUGUGGUCUUCUUUUUGAUACCCAUGUGCUCUACUCACACCCGCACUGCCACAUUUAGAGUUGGAAGGGAUAUUUCCCUUUCAGAGACCAAACUGGCUGCAACCAUCACAACUCUGUUCUCAACAGCAUGAAGUAUGGCUCUUUUUGUACAAUGUUCUGGGAGUUGUGAGAAAAAUUCUGCUAUUGAGCCAUCCAAGUAGCACACAUCCUUUAAAACAAUGUCUACAAAGGUGCCAGGAUAUUUUCCAAAACUGUUUAUGAAGAUUUGAGGCCAUAUACCAUGUAUAAAUUCACUAAAAUCAAGAUAACUUAAUGAUUGCAUUAACUAAUGAUAUGAUAUGAUCUGUCUCUCAGAAACCACCCCAUUUUAGUACACCACCACCACAAGUAUGAACACCUUAUACUUGAACAUGACUACCAGUACUUCAACUAUUAACAACAGCUCAAAAAUACCCAAAUAUUUUGCUGCCUUCAUUUUGAGAAAAGGCUUUGGUGGGCUGCAAUUACAUUUCACCUACUCUGACUGCUUCUUCCAGGGCCUCACUCCUCACCACCCUCCAGUAGGGCUCUUGGCUGUUUUUUAAUGGAAUAGCCUGAACAAACAUACUGCUCUCAGUGUGACGAUGUGCUGCUGGUUACUAAGCAGCAUUUGCAAAGAGUGUUUACUGCUCAGACCCCCUCCCCCUUUUAUCACUUAGAUGUUAUCUGCACAACAGGCACAAUUGUAAGUAGAUGCUGACACUAUAAACAAGCACGCUUCAGAUUUAUGCUUCCACAUUAUACUUUUAACAUGCUACUUAUUUUGAGGGAACUAAAUAAAAUUAUGACGAUGAUUCUAGCUAAAAAUGCAUGGUGCACACUAUCCAAGAAAUCUAACAAAAACAUUAAAUAUGUCCCAGGAAAUCAAAUUUAUAGCACAGGAAAUGUUUAGUGACUUCAUUACUCAGAUUACCAGUUGGAUAUCAGUUACAUCAUCAGCAACCUCCAAUUUCCUGUUUUGCUUAUCAUAGAGUUACUGUUUUCUUUUUUUAAUGUUUGCACAGCCCGUGUGGCAACAGCUACAGUGAGAUCAGAUACAGGAAUUUUCUGUGAUGGAUUAAAGAUCAUGUUUAUUUUAUCAUUUUUGAAGAAAUAAUAAUAAUAAUGUUGGGAACUGAAUGUGUACAAAACAUAAAUAGGCUUCUAUUUUUUUUUUCCACUGGAAAAGAUAUGAUUUGUGGCAAUAUGUGCAUUAAUUCUUCGUAAAUAUUAUUGAUUUGUGUCCCGCUUCAGAAUUGUUCCUUCCUACUGACUAAGAAAUGAUACCAGACUUCUGGCAGUUGACAGUAACAUUAUAUACUUCUGGUCCUUACAGAAACUUGCGUUUCUUUGCUCUCUUUAUGUCUAUGAAUCAGCCACUCCUUGUGCUUGUAACUCUCCUAUUAAUCUUACAAGUUGCCUGGUCUUGUAAAAGCCUGACCCACAGUUUCAGACAAGUAUGAAUCUCUGUCAUGGCAAUACCAACUUCAUUCAAGGAAAAGUGUAUUUCUUUGUCAUUCCCAAUCAUUCUGUGAAACUCUAGAUUUUUCUUCUAACGCAGAGCUUCACACAUAAUUGACUGAUCUCCAGACUCCUCCCAAGCUCUAGCAUCUUUUUGGCCUCUCUGAAGGCCUGUGAGGUUCCUAAGUGAAAGCCUUGAGAUAUGGACCUGGAGAUCACCUGGCCAAAAUCACACAGAAAAUGGACUUGAUCUGGGGCUGGUAGAUAACUCAUAGCAUUAGGUUGGGCCUGUUUCUUUUCUAAAUUUUAACUUACUUUGGAGAAGCUCUCUUCCAAGUGACUAAAAUCACACUUACGAGGCCUCUGUAGCGAAGGAAAAAGAAAGGCAAAAUUUGUGAUCCAUAUACGGGUUAGUGGGUGAUAACAGUGUGGAGUUAUAAAAUAAUGCAUAUUCACCAAAGGUAUAUAUUCACCAACUGUGUGCCAGGGGGUUAAACACAUCUUCAGUUGUUAUUAUGGAUUAAAAAGUAGGUAAAAUAAAAUUUCUUGAUAACAUAGAAUAAAUGGAUUAAUGAAGAAAUAUACUUUAAUGAAUGGUAUUAGACUAUUUGUGAAAACAAACAAAAAAACAAUGCCACACAAAUCUUUAAGUCAGUUUCAUCAAUUGAUUGUCAAGUCUUUUUCAUACUGUCUUUUGCCUUUGGAAAAACACAGUGAGAUAGACUGAGAUGUAACAACAGUAUUAAUGCACAAAAUAAAAGCAUCCUUGUGACAAUAUUAAGAAGUUAAAAAAAAAAAAAGCAGUAGAUUUACAAAUGCAAAAGCUUAUAGAAAAUUUCUCUUGUCCUCUAGCGAGCACCAGAACCUCCUGAUUGGAAAGUAACCAAUAGCCAAGAGACAUUCAAACUGAAAUAAUUAUUACUUGUGCAAGUAAUUAUUUCCAAACUGGCAAAAUUUGACUUCUUCUCUGCUUUAGCAGCUACCAUACAGUUUUUGAGGCUGUCUUCUACUUGUUCUCUUUGAAGAAAAAUGCAGUGGUAUUCAGAAUGUUUUCCUCUCUGAUCUAGCUGAAAUCGCACUCACAAGCCCUUGCUUACACGUAGAAUUUCCACAUUAAUUGGUUCUGGAAACCAGGCUGCCCUCUUGGAAUCUUAAACUUAGCAACUUUGAGCAAAAGUCUGAUUAAUAUCAGCAAAAAUCCUUCUCUUGCACCUCCUUUGUUUUCACAAAACAUAGACUUUCUGGUGGGCAUUUUUUAGGUAAGUGUGCUGCUUGAAUUAAUAGGUAAAAAUAGAGUUGUUGAAUCAUAGAAUUGUAGAAGCAUAGUACCACAGAAUCACAGAAUGGCUUGGAUUGGAGCCUUAAAGUCCACACCGCCCCAACCCCUGCCAUAGGCAGGGCUGCCCCCCACCAGCUCAGGCUGCCCAGGGCCCCAUCCAACCUGGCCUUGAGUGCCUCUAGGGAUGGUGCACCACAGCUUCUAGCUGCACUUUUGCCUAGUGUUCCAAAAAUGCUUUCACUGCCAUUGACAAAUAAUACGUUGCAUGAAAGAGGGAAGAGAAAUCACAUGCAUACUUUUAUGUCCAGUUCUUCCCAACUUCCCUCCCUCAACUUACUUCUCUACUCUGCUUAUGUGCAGGUUGUGGGUAGUUAUAUUAAUGCAAAUAAGAAGGAUGUUAGCCCCAGAUCAUCCUGAUGUCAUUAACAUGCAUGACAGAAAAUGGAUUACAAAUGAUCUACCCUGCAGAAUAAGGCUUUAUAUUUUUCUUUAUUUAUUUUUGUUAACUGGGCAACAGGGCAUUAAAGCCUUGUGAUGUAUUAACUUUUUGGCCUGGAACUGAUUUAAGGCUGCACAAGGAAGAGUUUUUGAUGCACCAUUUGUGGUAUGAGCAUAUUUUGACAUCAGCAAUUUUUAAGAUAUCUAUAAUACCACUGUGACUUCAAUGUUUUAUUUGUCCAUGCUAACGAAUAUAGUACUCUAAAUACAUUAAAUUCUGUGUAUUUUAAAUAUGGAUAUAAAUAUAUUGCUUUAAACAAUACAUUGUUUAGAGUUAUGUGUUAACACUGACACUGAAUUCACUAACAAUUCUUAGAAAUAAACAGUAAAACUCCUGGGAAACUCCUGGCAAGAUUUAGCAUUUCUGUAUUAAUUGUCCUUUGGUUUUAGCCAUUAAGACCAUUAAAGAGAAAUCAAACGGCAAGGUAAUCUUGAGUUCUGAUGUACUGUACAAAAAAAUACUACUCCCAAACUCCACUGUAGUGUCUGGUGGAUGCGUGACAGCUCUGCUGCCUGCACCAACAUACAAG
ensembl:lncRNA